CCUCUGGCGGGGAGAAAUUGAAACCAGCAGCAUUUAGCCUUCAGUUUUGUAGGCAAAGCAUGUUCUCCUGGGGGGGUUCUGCCAUGGCUUGGUCCAAUUGCUACCAAUGUAUCACUUGCGAUGCUCUUAACUACUUCAGACAAAUGCAGCGGUGCUCUAAUGAAAACUAAAAUUCGCAGGCAUGCUUUCAACCACACAAAUUUAAUAAAGGAUUUUAUUCACCUGACAAAUCUAAUCAAUUUUCACCAAAUAAGGCAACAUUCAGCCUCAGGGCUAGGAGUUCACUGCAUGUGUAGUGUAUACAUCUUUCCAGGUUCAAAAGACUUGGGGUUUGUGGCUAGUGCUGAGUUCAAAAUGAAAUGUUACCUGCAGGUCAAAAGCUGUUUUCUAACACAGCAAUUGUGUUAGGUAUUUAUACGGUUUAUUCAGUGAUGACAGGUAUUAAGGUAUCUACUAAUACUUGCCAUCAGCACCACAUUAAGUUUUUUGUUUUUCAUGUGACCAGGUCUGUUCAGAUUCAGAUAAUGAAAUUAUCUUUCUUCUCUAUUAACCUGUGUCACUUCAAUUUAUGCACAAAUGCUGCCCUUGACUACAGUCUGAUCUGAGCCCACAGGUUUUCAGUAUACCUCCAAGGACAGAAUUUUGUCACUAUUGGCCUGAAUGCCAACAUUUGUGCCAGUCCCACCGCUCUGCAGCAUUAAUGAAAUCAUUGGAUGAUAUUCCAUAAAUUGAAGUGCCCCAAACACUCCAUUGUAAACUUCAGAUUAAGUCCUGCUCAUCAGACCCCUGAGAAACAAUAAAUGCAGUUUAACAGAGUCAGUGUCACAGAGGACAGAAAAUACAGGCCAAGACUACCAAUUACUAUAAACAACUCCAUUUGAUUCAGUGGAG